GAUGAACGCUAGCGGCAGGCUUAAUACAUGCAAGUCGAACGGGAUUCGGUGUAGCAAUACAUUGAUGAGAGUGGCGCACGGGUGCGUAACGCGUAUGCAACCUACCUUUAACAGGUGAAUAGCCCCGAGAAAUCGGGAUUAAUACACCGUAACAUUGCGGGAUGGCAUCAUUCUGCAAUUAAAGAUUUAUCGGUUAAAGAUGGGCAUGCGUGACAUUAGCUAGUUGGUGAGGUAACGGCUCACCAAGGCGACGAUGUCUAGGGGUCCUGAGAGGGUUAUCCCCCACACUGGUACUGAGACACGGACCAGACUCCUACGGGAGGCAGCAGUAAGGAAUAUUGGUCAAUGGGCGCAAGCCUGAACCAGCCAUGCCGCGUGCAGGAAGACGGCCCUAUGGGUUGUAAACUGCUUUUGUCAGGGAAUAAACCUGUCUACGAGUAGGCAGCUGAAGGUACCUGAAG
rnacentral:rRNA from 1 species